rnacentral:rRNA from 1 species
ACGAACGCUGGCGGCGUGCUUAACACAUGCAAGUCGAACGGAAAGGCCCUAGCUUGCUAGGGUGCUCGAGUGGCGAACGGGUGAGUAACACGUGGGUGAUCUGCCUUGUACUCUGGGAUAAGCUUGGGAAACUGGGUCUAAUACCGGAUAGGAACUGCCUUUAGUGUGGUGGUUGGAAAGUUUUUUCGGUGCAAGAUGAGCUCGCGGCCUAUCAGCUUGUUGGUGGGGUAAUGGCCUACCAAGGCGUCGACGGGUAGCCGGCCUGAGAGGGUGUACGGCCACAUUGGGACUGAGAUACGGCCCAGACUCCUACGGGAGGCAGCAGUGGGGAAUAUUGCACAAUGGGCGGAAGCCUGAUGCAGCGACGCCGCGUGGGGGAUGACGGCCUUCGGGUUGUAAACUCCUUUCGACAGGGACGAAGCUUUUUGUGACGGUACCUGUAUAAGAAGCACCGGCUAACUACGUGCCAGCAGCCGCGGUAAU